rnacentral:rRNA from 1 species
CAUAGCGACUAUCGUGGCAUAUCAAUAAGCGGAGGAAAAGAAACUAACAAGGAUUCCCUUAGUAAUGGCGAGUGAAGCGGGAAGAGCUCAAAUUUGAAAUCUUCAAGGUUCUACCUUGACGAAUUGUAGUUUAUAAGAAGUGUUUUCUGUUAGUGGAGUUGGCUAAAAGUUCUUUGGAAUAGGACAUCAUAGAGGGUGAGAAUCCCGUAUUUGACCAUUAUUUCCAGCUGUGUGAUACACUUUCAAAGAGUCGGAUUGUUUGGGAAUGCAGCCCAAAAUGGGUGGUAAAUUUCAUCUAAAGCUAAAUAUUGGCGAGAGACCGAUAGCGAACAAGUACCGUGAGGGAAAGAUGAAAAGAACUUUGAAAAGAGAGUUAAACAGUACGUGAAAUUGUCAAAAGGGAAGCGUUUGACACCAGUGUUGUUUUUCCGAAAAUCAAUUAUGAAUGGCUUGAUUUUAAGUUUCAUGACCUUAAAAGCUUGUUUCUUAUUUUUCAUGUCUUUCGUAAUGCACUUUUCGGUUAACAAGUCAACAUCAAUUUCUUUUGUUGUAAAAGGUUAAGAGGAAGGUGGCUUUACUUUCGGGUAAAGUGUUUAUAGCCUUGUACCUCUGCAAUCGGAGAGAUUGAGGUCUGCAGCGUAGAUCCUUCGGGGUUAGAUACAUUUGUGCUAAGUUAUAGCUUUUCAUAGACAACUUGUUGACUAUGUUUAGUCUUGUAGCUUACUCGCUUACGCUAUUUUACCUACGCUUAGGAUGUUGAUAUGCAUGACUGAUAU